rnacentral:rRNA from 1 species
UACGUAGGAGACGAGCGUUGUCCGGAAUUACUGGGCGUAAAGCGCGUGUAGGCGGAUAGGCAAGUCUGCUGUGAAAGCUCCUGGCUUAACCGGGAGUGGUCGGUGGAAACUGCUUAUCUGGAGGACGGUAGAGGCUGGUGGAAUUCCCGGUGUAGUGGUGAAAUGCGUAGAGAUCGGGAGGAACACCUGUGGCGAAGGCGGCCCGCUGGGCAGUGGCUGACGCUGAGGCGCGACAGCGUGGGGAGCAAACAGG